GUCACAAUUACAUAAAUUCACAAUACACUGGAAUCCAAAAGCUUUGUGGACAAGCCUACAAUGGAUGUUAGGCUUCACAAUAAAACUAAUUAUUUUUGUAUUCGUAGUCACAGACAGCAGCAUUAACAUACCAAGUAGAAAAGAGUUUUCAGCGUCACGCUUCCACAGCCGCUUCUGGCGCAUCCGAGAAGUAAUCUUGCCGGAUUUUACGAGAAAGCUGAUAAAUGCCUGUCCCAGCCAUUGCAACAUUCACACUAAAUAAAUUCCAGUUCCUUGGCGUAAUCACCAUGCUGUAACGGGACCAGAUGACUCCAGUACAAGUGACAGCUAUUUGCUGAGGAUAGGAGACCUUCUCAGGUGGCUUCGCAAAGUCCGCAAUAUUGGCAAUGCUGAUGCCCCAUUUGAAAGUCGGAGCCCAAAAGUGGAUAGUUUUAGGGCCAGCAGGGUGGUUCCACAAUGCCUGAAUCUUUGAUGCUGCCAUCAAAUCUAUCAAGUAUACUUUCUGUACUUUCCAGUCCACUCUUUUCCUUAUUCUGUGGCCUG
rnacentral:misc_RNA from 1 species